GACGAACGCUGGCGGCGUGCUUAACACAUGCAAGUCGAGCGAUGAAAGCCUUAUGAACUAUUCGUAGUGAUUGAGGCCGGAUUAGCGGCGGACGGGUGAGUAACGCGUGAGCAACCUGCCUAAACAACGGGAUAGCCUCGGGAAACCGGGAUUAAUACCGUAUGAGACCCCGCCUUCACAUGAAGAAGAGGUUAAAGAUUUAUCGGUUUAAGAUGGGCUCGCGUCUGAUUAGCUAGUUGGUGAGAUAAAAGCCCACCAAGGCAACGAUCAGUAACCGGCUUGAGAGGGUGAACGGUCACAUUGGAACUGAGACACGGUCCAAACUCCUACGGGAGGCAGCAGUGGGGAAUAUUGCACAAUGGGGGAAACCCUGAUGCAGCGACGCCGCGUGAGCGAUGAAGGAAUUCGUUUCGUAAAGCUCUGUCCAAGGGGAAGAUAAUGACAGUACCCUUGGAGGAAGCCCCGGCUAAAUACGUGCCAGCAGCCGCGGUAAGAC
rnacentral:rRNA from 1 species